GACGAACGCUGGCGGCGUGCCUAAUACAUGCAAGUCGAGCGAACAUUUGAGAGCUUGCUCUCAAAUGUUAGCGGCGGACGGGUGAGUAACACGUGGGCAACCUGCCUAUAAGACUGGGAUAACUUCGGGAAACCGGAGCUAAUACCGGAUAAUUCACAUCUACUCAUGUAGAUGUGCUGAAAGACGGUUUACGCUGUCACUUAUAGAUGGGCCCGCGGCGCAUUAGCUAGUUGGUGAGGUAACGGCUCACCAAGGCCACGAUGCGUAGCCGACCUGAGAGGGUGAUCGGCCACACUGGGACUGAGACACGG
rnacentral:rRNA from 1 species